rnacentral:rRNA from 1 species
CCUACGGGAGGCAGCAGUGAGGAAUAUUGGUCAAUGGACGAGAGUCUGAACCAGCCAAGCAGCGUGAAGGAUGACUGCCCUAUGGGUUGUAAACUUCUUUUAUAUGGGAAUAAAAUGUUCCACGUGUGGGAUUUUGUAUGUAUCAUAUGAAUAAGGAUCGGCUAACUCCGUGCCAGCAGCCGCGGUAAUACGGAGGUUCCGAGCGUUAUCCGGAUUUAUUGGGUUUAAAGGGAGCGUAGAUGGAUUGUUAAGUCAGUUGUGAAAGGUUGCGGCUCAACCGUAAAAUUGCAGUUGAAACUGGCAGUCUUGAGUACAGUAGAGGUGGGCGGAAUUCGUGGUGUAGCGGUGAAAUGCUUAGAUAUCACGAAGAACUCCGAUUGCGAAGGCAGCUCACUGGACUGCAACUGACACUGAGGCUCGAAAGUGUGGGUAUCAAACAGGAUUAGAUACCCUGGUAGUC